CUGAUAUCCAGCCUAACAGGGACGUUUUACUUUUUCAGAUGGCCCUGUUAUAACCAUCCCAGUGACAAAGAUCUAGCUUUUCUAAAAUUACCCAGUUCAGCUUGCCCUUGGGUUAUCCAACAAGCUGGUCUACAAUACUAACCAGAGACAAGCUGAAAAAGUGAGUGCUGGCCCAGAAAAAAGCUGCCAACCAAUGGAAAUUCUCCACCCAAGAAUACAUGACCUUCACGUAGGUGUUAAUACUGCCACCGUCUAAGUGGAGUACAAGAAUAGUCAGCAAUGGUGACUGCGCAUGAGAGGAGACCCCUUGAUCUGCAUUUCUUAUUGCUCAUCUUGUCCACAAAAUCAGGGUUCCCUACUACAUCAUCAAGGGAAAAGUUAGAUGAAGUCACAGGAUGACCUACAUCAGUCUCACUUUUAUACGGCUUAACUGGAAAGAUAGUAGUAUGCUGGCUGAGCUGGUAGAGGCCAUCAGAACUAACUACAGUGAUAACUAUUGUAAGAUCUGACAUCACUGGAAGACAAUUACUUAGGCCCAAAUUCUGUAAUUCACAAUGCCAAGUUGGAAAAGAAAAAGGCUCAAGAGCUUGCCACAAAACUA
rnacentral:lncRNA from 1 species